CCGAAAUGCACGUUUGGAUUUUCGCGCUCUGUGGCCUUAUAUGCCAACUACUCCUAAUGGAAGCUCGAGCCACUUUAUUUAGUAUUACUAAGAACUGCAUCGAAGGAGAAGUUUUGACUUUUCACAAGCAUUGUCGCAAGUUAAGUGGCAUAAGAUGUUUGUUAUUCCCAGCUGUUUAUACAUUAAUAAAAUUGUUGCGGGUGGAAUUCUAAACACUCCGUUGUGAUAAGUUAUUCUCCACGAAUAUAAAUAAAUAAGAAGCUUCGGUAACUUUAUCCCAACAUAUUGUUCCUCGAGCAAGAUGCAAUCCCUACUAUAAGGAUAUAGUCUGGCCACCGUAAUUACACCAAAAGCAGUGAACUCUCUUACCAAACGCCAAAUUGCAUUUGCAAUUCAGGUCGAUUCCCUGAAAUUGCGAUUCAAAAAUGCCACCCCUACAUUUGAAAACUAAACCCAAGUGCGCGGCUGUGAUGAAAAGAUGAAAAGUGCAUCCAAGAGGUGGAUGUGUGUUUGCAUACGAGUGGCAAAUUCAAUUUGGCCAACUCCCUGGAAAGCCGCAGGCCAACUCUCAAGCUCAAGGCCCACUCAAUGAGUUUCAACUAAUUGCCAGGUGAGGAGAGGCGAAAUAAAUCAGAAUGAAAAUAUUUCCAUUUCGAGGUUGCUACUGCUGCUGCUAGUGCCACUGCUGCUGGGAUUUUUCUCGCCUGAAAGCAGCGCAACACAUUUCCACACAGCACCAUCCGAGUAGCCCGACUUUUCCGGGGAAAACAAUGAAAUUUUUACUGUUUUAGCGAGAAUUCCACUGCUCUACGGCCAUUUGCAAGGGGUGGGGGGAUGGUGUUUUGGCGCCGGGGACGGCCAAUCCGCCGGACAGCCGGUUGAACAUAAUGAAGUCCAGUCCCCGGAUCUCUGUUCUCACUGCCACUCUCUGUUCUAGUCAGUUCGGUUCGUUUGGGUUCGGCAACAUGGCCACGUUAAAUGGAAACGGACGGAUACGGCCCGGUUUUAUCGAAUUAGGAAGCACCCUUUUAGGUCGGUGGUUCCAAAGUGUAAAGUCAUUAAAUCUAAAAAAAAACUGGAUAAAU